ACUACUACUACUACUACUACUACUGCCACCACCACCACCACUGGUUCUUCUUCUGCCAGUAAAAAAGAAAGUCAACUUAACACAAUAAUCCUGGUGAUAAAAUUGAUAAUCUUCACCCAAAUAUGAAGAGGUUGUUUAUGAAAAAUCAAGUAUCUACAGCUGCAGAAAUAAAAUAUACAUAAAGUAUUUAAAUUAUCAUUUGCUUAUUGCCUAUGAAGGUGAACUCAGGAGAGCAUAUCACACUGUUCUCAUAAGAAUGACAUGCUUUUUGAUGGCAUCAGCAAUUCAUGACUUCCUGGGAUUCUCAGCUCCAGAAGGGGUCAAGAUGGAUUUUUAAAUAUAUAAAGUAUAUUUAAUAAAGUGUUUCUUUUCAUCUAUUUAUAUCAUAUGAACCACACUUAUAGGUGAUGGAGGAGGACAUGCUAGCACUCCAUCUGGGAAACCAAA